rnacentral:rRNA from 1 species
ACCUACGGGGGGCAGCAGUGAGGAAUAUUGGUCAAUGGGCUUACGCCUGAACCAGCCAAGUCGCGUGAGGGAAGACUGCCCUAUGGGUUGUAAACCUCUUUUGUCAGGGAGCAACACCGGCUACGUGUAGCCGGACUGAGAGUACCUGAAGAAAAAGCAUCGGCUAACUCCGUGCCAGCAGCCGCGGUAAUACGGAGGAUGCGAGCGUUAUCCGGAUUUAUUGGGUUUAAAGGGUGCGUAGGCGGAAUGCCAAGUCAGCGGUAAAAUCGCGGGGCUCAACCUCGCUCCGCCGUUGAAACUGGCGU